rnacentral:rRNA from 1 species
CUGGGUGGUUGUCGUCCAUUUUUGUCGUAUGGAAUCAAUUAAGACCCCAACAGAGCGCAUCCUAAGUCUUUAGUAUCCAGCACGUAAUGGUGGGCACUCUAAGGAGACUGCCGGUGACAAACGUGAGGAAGGUGGGGAUGAUGUCAAGUCAUCAUGGCCCUUACGGCCAGGGCUACACACGUGCUACAAUGGUCGGUACAAAGGGUUGCCAAGCCGCGAGGUGGAGCUAAUCCCAUAAAACCGAUCGUAGUCCGGAUCGCAGUCUGCAACUUGACUGCGUGAAGUCGGAAUCGCUAGUAAUCGUGAAUCAGAAUGUCACGGUGAAUACGUUCCCGGGCCUUGUACACACCGCCCGUCACACCAUGGGAGUGGGUUGCUCCAGAAGUAGCUAGUCUAACCUCGGGGGACGGUACCACGAGGAUCUGGGCG